GACUCGGUAAGGCCAGAGACGCAAGCGUUAGUCAUCUUGAUCAGGCGUAAAGGGUAUGUAGGCUGCUUUAAAAAAAUAUUUAUAACAAAAAAAUUUUUUUUUUAUAAAUAUUUGUAUAAUUAAAGCUAGAAUCAAAUAGAGGUCACGAAUUUAAAAAUGAAAGACAACUUCUAGUGGAAGGUCGAUAUCUGUAGAUAUUAGGAGGAGUACUAAUUAGCGAAAGCUCUUUUCCAUCUAAUGAUUGACGCUGAGAUACGAAGGGGAGGAUAGACAAUAGGAUUAGAUACCCUAGCAUCCCUCCCUGUAAACGAUGAAUGGUAGUUGCUAGAUGUAGAAUUUAGUGGCGAAGCUAACGCCUUAACCAUUCCGCCUUGUAAGUACGGUCGCAAGUCUGAAAACAAAAAAAUUAGUCGGUUUCGGAGCAA
rnacentral:rRNA from 1 species